rnacentral:rRNA from 1 species
CCUACGGGUAGCUGCAGUAGGGAAUUUUCGGCAAUGGGGGGAACCCUGACCGAGCAACGCCGCGUGAACGAAGAAGUAUUUCGGUAUGUAACGUUCUUUUAUUGGAGAGGAAAGAGAAAUUUGUCGGUACCACAUGAAUCAGCUCCGGCUACCUACGUGCCAGCAGCCGCGGUAAUACGUAGGGAGCGAGCGUUAUCCGGAAUUACUGGGCGGAAAGGGUGCGUAGAUGGUUGAUAUAAGUCGUUGGUAAAAAUGCUAGGCUAAACCUAGUAGGGCAAAAGAUACUGGUGAACUAGAGUACGGUAGAGGGAGGUGGAACUACAGGUGUAGCGGUAAAAUGCGUAAAGAUAUGGAAGAAUACCGGUGGCGAAGGCGGCUUCCUGGGCCUGUACUGACAUUGAGGCGCGAAAGCGUGGGGAGCAAACAGGAUUAGAUACCCCGGUAGUC